AAGUCGUAACAAGGUUUCCGUAGGUGAACCUGCGGAAGGAUCAUUAGUGAAUUAUAGGGCGUCUACUUGUAGAGCCUGACCUCCACUUCUAACACUGUGCACUUGAUGGCGAGGUAAUUAUGAUCAGGCUCUCGGGCUUGUGAUGAGAACCUUGCGGCUUCAUUUUAAACAUUAGUCAAAGUAUGUAAAGAAACUUAAAACAAAAAAAA
rnacentral:misc_RNA from 1 species